rnacentral:lncRNA from 1 species
UCUAGCAAGCUGAGUCAUUCUUCAUUAGCAGAGAACCACCAGGGAGUGAUAGGACUAUUUAAAUUCACAUUCUGUAUAAUUGGAGCAUUAUGGGAAAUAACUCUAAACUUCUCUUUCAUUCUCCUGUUUUCUAGGGGGAGAAGAUCUUUCCAAAGUAUCCCACCUGAAUUCUCAAUGACAGGCCCCAUACAAAGCAUCAGGUGGCGUCUCUGAUAACAGGGAUCUGUCGGUGACAUUGGGUACACACCAGGCUUUGUAAGUGACAGUGGUGACUUUCCUGUGUUCUCUUCUGGUGGGGAACUGCAGGGUGUUUCUUCUUGACCCCUUGCCUCAUCGACACACAUUCACCCCCAUUUUCUUUUUAAUCUGUUACAAAAGAACAGAAACAAGACCAAGAAGACAUUAAAACUCUAAAGUUAAAUUAAUAGAGAAGAUUCUCCGAGAUGCUAAACCACGUGGACCUGGAAAGUCUUCCCUCCUUGUUGGCAACCGGGUGCUUGCCUCCUGCCGUCCUGGCUGAGGACCGUGCCUUAGCUCCUGCUCUACAAAAUACAAUGUUGCCAUGACAUAACGCUGGUCUCCAGGGAGCCUCUCAGCCUCGGUGGGAUCUUAUGAAUUUGGAUAUUCAAGAGAGCAGCUUGGACCCACUGUGGCUGGGAGAAUAAACUGCCCACUAAGAUCUGUGGGAGAGUGAAUUAUCCACUAAGGGCUGAGUGGGCUGUGCUUCGCCAACUUUGUUUUCUGUUUAUUUGGAACCGUUACACCGCAGCAGGGGCCUCUCUGGAGUGACCUUUUCAUGAUGCAAAAAUUAGUUUGGGGAAGUUCAAAUUCCCCAAAUGGAACAAUAAUCAGAUGAAAUGACCACAAAGGAAUAAAUUUGCUUCCGAAAUAAAAAGGUACUUAACAAAUGAUUCAUCAUUCCACGCUCUGACCUUAAAUAGAUCUCUCUUUGGCUUCACUGACUAGAAGUCAGUUCUUUUGCUGCCUUUGUUUUUUGUAUAUAACAAGGUUUGUGUGUUUCAUGACAUAGUCUUACUGCUUGUUCAUGUUAUGUCGUAGUUCCCCAAAACAAUCCAGCAAAGUAAGAACUGGUGUUUAGUAAGUGCCUAUGAUGAGCUGAGAGCUCCAUCGCAUGCCUCCUAUACAUUAUCAUAGCGAAUAUUCCAAACUUAGAGGUGGAUGUUCUUGUUCCCAUUUAACAGAUGGCAAAGCUGAGGACUAAAGUAUUCGCAUAAUUCACAUAAUUCUGAGUCAUUUAACUUACAGAACCUGGAUUUCUAACUCACAGUCUGACUCCAUAGUGUUCUUAUUUAUCAAGGUACACACACACACACAAAACACAACAGAAACACUCACACACACAUACUCACAUACCACCACACACACAUAUUCACAUGCCACACCAUAUCAUACACACAGACACACUCCCCCCACACACUCAUACACCCUUACACACCACAUGAGACACAUGCACACUCACACAUAUAUAUUAGGUAAAUGUCAAAACUAACUACUAAAAUUAGUAUAAUCGUGCUAAAAAUGCCAUCAUUUAAAAUUAUGCAGUAAAAAUACCUAAGACAAAAAAUGUGUAGAUUUUUUUGUUUAAAAAAUCUAUCUGUUCUGAAAUACUGAUUUUUUUUUGUAUACUAAAUGGUGGGUUUUUAAGUUGCCUAGUAAGUAAGUUUUGUUCUCAGCUGUCUCCCAGAAGAGCUCACCAAAAAUACUGCACAGAAGCGAAGGUGUGGGGGCCCAUUUUAAACCAAAUUAUUCUCCUCAAGGCAAAGCUAUGAAAGAGGAUGGCAGCUUGCUGCAAGCCAGACAUGAUGGUUGCAUCAUGAAUCCCACUAAAGAGGCCCAGGCAGGGGGAUUAUGAGUUCUAGGCCAGUGUAAUUACACAGGCAGUGGGGCACGAGUCAGAUUACAGCCAACCCUUUACAGACUGCAGAACUGAAAAAAAAAGAAAAAGAAAAGCAAACGAUUGUGUUGGUUCUCAUUGAUGUAGCCAAUGGGGGGAGGGGGGGCUGCAAGGCCAAAGGCACUGCGCUCUCUCAGGACUCCUGCACAUGCCACUUGAGUCUCUAAUCUCAGAUGACAUUAGUUAGGGAACACAGAUAAUGAAACAGGUAGAGCAUGCUUCCCAAGUUCCCCAAGAGCUCCAGUUUAGCUCUUAUCUGACAGCACAGGGCACCCCAACUUUUGUGCCUCAAACUCUCAGGAAGACUUUCUUGUGAAGUCUUUUUCUAGUCAGAUAUGGUUUUAUUUAUUUAUUUAUUUAUUUAUUUAUUUAUUUAUUUAGUCUUCAGAGUUAGAUUUCAUACGGCACUUUGGAAAACCCACACCAGCAUAUGUCAAUGAUGGGAUUUUUAUUUGUAUGGUUAAAUGCCAUGGUUAGUCAAGAUCUAUUUUACCUAAGCCAAUUGAAAAACACAAAUAAAGGUCACCUGACAGAGCCUUUUCAUUUGUUCACAACUGGUCACUUCAAAAAUCUAUAAGUCCCCAAACAUAUCUUGCAAUUAAAUUCUUCUCACAAGUGGUAAUCAGUAGCUGGGGUCUACCCACCAAGGAUAUUAGAUUGGGCAAUUAAAGAUUAACUCAUGAAAUAAGAACUUCAAAAUGCCUUUCUCCAUCUGUGAAAUCUUAUGCAUCUCUUCCCCUCUUAGUUCAGUUUUUUCUAAGGGGAACAGGGUUGGGGUUGGCGGGAAGGUGUUUCUCCACUGGUAUGAAAAGUAAUUUAAAUUUAGCAGGAGCCUGACAUGAAGGUCAUUGUCCCCUUAACAUUUAAUUAUAGGAUAAUCUCUGAUGGGGGAAACAAAACUUAUCGUGAGAUAAAGGUCUCCAGUAGGUUUUAUUCAAGGAGAGGCAAAGCUGAAAUAUUAUGGAAAAUAAAUGUCAUGUCAAAGGUUUGAUAUUUAUUUUCAAAGCAAGAAGCCUAACCACAGUGGUUAUCAACAACAAAGUAGUCUUCAGACUGACCGUCCUGCAGAGAUAAAGGCCGUGGCACGCCUGUACCACAUAAUUGUUUUUCUGGAGUGCAUUGAGACAGCUAUAAGAAAACCUAGGUUUUUAGUUAACUCACGCAGUCCAUUGCUACAAGCCUGGACUUGGACAAACCUA